ACGCUCGACACCUACGGGAAGCAGCAGUGAGGAAUAUUGGUCAAUGGACGCAAGUCUGAACCAGCCAUGCCGCGUGCAGGAUGACGGCUCUAUGAGUUGUAAACUGCUUUUGUACGAGGGUAAACGCAGAUACGUGUAUCUGUCUGAAAGUAUCGUACGAAUAAGGAUCGGCUAACUCCGUGCCUGCAGCCGCGGUAAUCUGAGCGGGCUGGCAAGGC
rnacentral:rRNA from 1 species